rnacentral:rRNA from 1 species
AUAGCGUAUAUUAAAGUUGUUGCAGUUAAAAAGCUCGUAGUUGAACUUUGGGUCUGGGUGACUGGUCUCCCUUACUGGGUGCACUGAGAACCCGGACCUUUCCUUCUGGCAAACCUCAUGCCCUUUACUGGGUGUGUUGGGGAACCAGGACUUUUACUUUGAAAAAAUUAGAGUGUUCAAAGCAGGCAUUUGCUCGAAUACAUUAGCAUGGAAUAAUAGAAUAGGACGUGCGGUUCUAUUUUGUUGGUUUCUAGGGCCGCCGUAAUGAUUAAUAGGGACAGUCGGGGGCAUCAGUAUUCAAUUGUCAGAGGUGAAAUUCUUGGAUUUAUUGAAGACUAACUACUG